GACGAACCGUGCGAACGUUGUUCGGAUUCACUGGGCUUAAAGGGCGCGUAGGCGGCGGCUCAAGUCGGGGGUGAAAUCCUUCCGCUUAACGGGAGAACUGCCUUCGAUACUGGGUCGCUGGAGGGAGAUAGGGGUGCGCGGAACUUCCGGUGGAGCGGUGAAAUGCGUAGAUAUUCACAGGAACUCCGGUGGCGAAGGCGGCUCGCUGGACCUUUUCUGACGCUGAGGCGCGAAAGCUAGGGGAGCAAACGGG
rnacentral:rRNA from 1 species